rnacentral:rRNA from 1 species
GACGAACGCUGGCGGCGUGCUUAACACAUGCAAGUCGAACGGAAAGGCCCUGCUUUUGUGGGGUGCUCGAGUGGCGAACGGGUGAGUAACACGUGAGUAACCUGCCCUUGACUUUGGGAUAACUUCAGGAAACUGGGGCUAAUACCGGCUAGGAGCUACUGCUGCAGGGUGGGGGUUGGAAAGUUUCGGCGGUUGGGGAUGGACUCGCGGCUUAUCCGCUUGUUGGUGGGGUAGUGGCUUACCAAGGCUUUGACGGGUAGCCGGCCUGAGAGGGUCACCGGCCACGUUGGGACUGAGAUACGGCCCAGACUCCUACGGGAGGCAGCAGUGGGGAAUAUUGCACUAUGGGCGGAAGCCUGAUGCAGCAACGCCGCGUGCGGGAUGACGGCCUUCGGGUUGUAUACCGCUUUCGCCUGUGACGAAGCGUGAGUGACGGUAAUGGGUAAAGAAGCACCGGCUAACUACGUG